rnacentral:rRNA from 1 species
CUCCUCAUAAGCUUCAGCCCUAAUAGAUAAUCCACUAACCCGCUAAAGAUGAGGCAAGU